UGACGAAUCAAUAAUGCUAAGUGUUUGAAGUUGGCUAGCAAUAGCUGAUGGAGCGCACGACCCAAGUUGGUAGUAGUCAAGCAAUGGAGAGACGCAGGAAGGUAGUCCAACCCAGGCGAUGGUUGACCUGGGGUAAGAGUGUAGGAGGUUCUGUAGGAAAAUCCGCAGAACAAUCUCUGAGACUUAAUGCCGAGCCGUAAGGCGAAGUGGAUGAUCCUAUGCUGCCAAGAAAAUCUUCUAGCGAGGUUUAUAGUGGCCCGUACCCGAAACCGACUCAGGUGGUCAGGUAGAGAAUACCAAGGUGAUCGAGAGAAUCGUGGUGAAGGAACUCGGCAAAAUACCCCCGUAACUUCGGGAGAAGGGGGGCUAAUUUUUGUGUAGAGGUUUACCUUCGAAGCAUAAGUUAGACGCAGAGAAUAGGCUCAAGCGACUGUUUACCAAAAACACAGGUCCGUGCGAAGUUGCAAAACGAUGUAUACGGACUGACGCCUGCCCGGUGCUGGAAGGUUAAGGGGACUGGUUAGCCGCAAGGCGAAGCUGAGAACUUAAGCCCCAGUAAACGGCGGUGGUAACUAUAACCAUCCUAAGGUAGCGAAAUUCCUUGUCGGGUAAGUUCCGACCUGCACGAAUGGCGUAACGACUUGAGCGCUGUCUCCACCAUGAACUCGGCGAAAUUGCAGUACGAGUAAAGAUGCUCGUUACGCGCGGAAAGACGGAAAGACCCCGGGACCUUUACUAUAUCUUGAUAUUGGUACUCGGAACGUUCUGUGUAGCAUAGGUGGGAGACUUUGAAGCGGCACGCCAGUGUUCGUGGAGUCAAAAAAUGAAAUACCACUCUGAACGUUUUGAGUUUCUAACCUCGGCCCAUUAUCUGGGUCAGGGACAGUGUCUGGUGGGUAGUUUAACUGGGGCGGUUGCCUCCCAAAAAGUAACGGAGGCGCUCAAAGGUUCCCUCAGCCUGGUUGGUAAUCAGGUGUCGAGUGUAAGUGCACAAGGGAGCUUAACUGUGAGACAGACAUGUCGAGCAGGUGCGAAAGCAGGAACUAGUGAUCCGGCGGUGGCUUGUGGAAGCGCCGUCGCUCAACGGAUAAAAGGUACCCCGGGGAUAACAGGCUGAUCUUGCCCAAGAGUCCAUAUCGACGGCAAGGUUUGGCACCUCGAUGUCGGCUCGUCUCAUCCUGGGGCUGGAGUAGGUCCCAAGGGUUGGGCUGUUCGCCCAUUAAAGAGGCACGCGAGCUGGGUUCAGAACGUCGUGAGACAGUUCGGUCCCUAUCUUCCGUGCGCGAAGGAAACUUGAGAAGGGCUGUCCCUAGUACGAGAGGACCGGGACGGACGAACCUCUUGUGUGUCGGUUGUUUCGCCAGAAGCACGGCCGAUUAGCAACGUUCGGAAGGGAUAACCGCUGAAAGCAUCUAAGCGGGAAGCUCGCUUC
rnacentral:rRNA from 1 species